AUAUCAAUAAGCGGAGGAAAAGAAACUAACGAAGGAUUCCCCUAGUAAACUGCGAGUGAAGCGGGAAAAGCUCAAAUUUAAAAAUCUGGUGGUCCUCUGGUCGAUCCGAGUUGUAAUUUAGAGAAGCGUCUUCCGCGCUGGAACCGUGCACAAGUCUCCUGGAAUGGAGCGUCAUAGAGGGUGAGAAUCCCGUCUUUGGCACGGAUCGCACCAGGUGCUUCUGUGAUGCGCUCUCGAAGAGUCGAGUUGUUUGGGAAUGCAGCUCAAAAUGGGUGGUGAACUCCAUCUAAAGCUAAAUAUUGGCGAGAGACCGAUAGCGAACAAGUACCGUGAGGGAAAGAUGAAAAGCACUUUGGAAAGAGAGUGAAACAGUAC
rnacentral:rRNA from 1 species